GUAGCUCAGUGGUAGAGCACUUGCUUAGCAUGCAUGAGGCCCUGGGGGUGAAUCCCAGUACA
rnacentral:tRNA from 1 species